UUCCAGCGGAAUAUUUGCAUUGAGCUUCCAAACAUUCCUAGAAAGUCGAGGUAUAUUAUUGGGCAUUUACCCAUAUUCUCUGCGUAAUUGCUCUCUCUCCCCUUUCUUGAGCCUGCGAACUUGUUUUUUCGAGGCUCCUCAUCCACUAUCUCAGAGACCAAACCAAGCCAGGAGUUCUGAUCUGAAAGUUGGAAUGAGUUAGGGAAGCAUUUAUUUGUUUUUGUCAUCUAUUUUUUCAGCACAUGUGUAAGUUUAGGAAAACAAAAGAAUAUGAAGUAUUUUAAUUCAAAUGAAAGAAUCAUAUUCUUUUAUAAACCAAUGUGGUCGGCCUAGUAGUAAGAGUAUAGGUAGUGAGUGAGUACAAGUUCUUAUUUCCAUUAUUUGUAUUUUGUACACCCAAAAAAUGGUACUCAUUUUUUUUUUCACUUUACAUAUUUUCUUUAUUAUUUUUAAUAGGCCAAA